ACGUAGGAGGCAAGCGUUAUCCGGAAUUAUUGGGCGUAAAGCGCGCGUAGGCGGUUUUUUAAGUCUGAUGUGAAAGCCCACGGCUCAACCGUGGAGGGUCAUUGGAAACUGGAAAACUUGAGUGCAGAAGAGGAAAGUGGAAUUUCAUGUGUAGCAGUGGAAUGUGUAGAACUGUGGGAGAUGACCAGUGGCGAAGGCGUCUUACUGGGAUAUAACUGACGCUGAUGGGCGUAAGCGUGGGGAUCAAACAG
rnacentral:rRNA from 1 species